rnacentral:misc_RNA from 1 species
GAUGAAGAACGCAGCGAAAUGCGACAAGUAAUGUGAAUUGCAGAAUUCCGUGAAUCAUCGAAUCUUUGAACGCACAUUGCGCCCUCUGGUAUUCCGGAGGGCAUGCCUGUCCGAGCGUCAUUGCUGCCCUCAAGCACGGCUUGUGUGUUGGGCCCCGCCCCCCGAUCCCGGGGGGCGGGCCCGAAAGGCAGCGGCGGCACCGCGUCCGGUCCUCGAGCGUAUGGGGCUUUGUCACCCGCUCUGUAGGCCCGGCCGGCGCUUGCCGAUCAACCAAACUUUUUUCCAGGUUGACCUCGGAUCAGGUAGGGAUACCCGCUGAACUUAAGCAUAUCAUAAGCGGAGGA